ACUCCUACGGGAGGCAGCAGUGGGGAAUAUUGCACAAUGGGCGCAAGCCUGAUGCAGCCAUGCCGCGUGUGAUGAAGAAGGGCCCUUCGGGGUUGUAAAGUACUUUCAGCAGUGAGGAAUGGUGGAUAUGUUAAUAGCAUAUUCAUUUGACGUUAGCUGCAGAAGAAGCACCGGCUAACUCCGUGCCAGCAGCCGCGGUAAUACGGAGGGUGCGAGCGUUAAUCGGAAUUACUGGGCGUAAAGCGCAUGCAGGUGGUUUGUUAAGUCAGAUGUGAAAGCCCGGGGCUCAACCUCGGAAUUGCAUUUGAAACU
rnacentral:rRNA from 1 species